AGUCGAGAAAGACCGAUAGAGACCAAGAGAAGGGAAGAAAGAAAGAAAGAAAGAGGAUGAGGAAAAGAAGGAAUUAGAUUUCCAAGCUUGGUGCUUCAUUUCUUCAAUUUCUCAUUUCAUUUAGAGAGAUAGCAGUCGAGUUGAGCAAUAUUGGAGCUUGUCUAUCCACUAAAUUGAGCCACACGUCAUUAGUUGUAUGGCCUACUUUAUCAUAUUAGGUAGUACCUGUUUCUUGGGUUACAUGUAGCUUAUGUUAGAAAAUGUUCCCUUGGUGGUGGGUCCGACACUUGUUGGUAUCUAUCAUCGGUGCACGACACGUGUCGGAUCCAUUAAGGUGAUUCGGGACGGGCUGUUUCAGAAUAGGUCAUAAUUAUGAAGAACAAGGCCACAAUCAACAAAAAUUAGGUCACAAUCACCCAUUCACAUCAUACCCAAACGUACCCGUAAAUUGCAUCUGACAUUAUAAUGUAUUAAAUAACAAAUUUAAUUAGUAUAGCCGGGUUUACAUUCUUCUUCCUCAUUGGAUUAGAAACACGUCCAUGCAUCAACAUCAUUUUCAUUUUUACGGGUUAUAAAGCUUUGAAUUGCAGAACUUGUUUCAAAGUAAACUUUAAUUGUGGCCAAAACAAAAUUUGGGUGUGUUGAAGACGACAAAGAUGGAGGUCGAUUUCAAUGGUGGUUAACAGGUGUGCUAAUAGUUGAAAAUGCCUGGGUCUCAUUGGAUUCAAUUGCAGGUGUGCGGCGCCAUUGCCAAACCAACCCUAACGUCAAUGCUCAGAAGCUUGACAAUAUUCAAGCCACUGUAUUCAUUGUUUAUGGAUUUAUGGCCUUCGUCUGUGGAAUUAUAAUUGGGAGACCAAUCGAAGGUGGAGUUAUGUUUGGGAGGUGAUUUCGCCAGGGUAGGUGGUGAGAAAUGGUGGUGGUGGUGGCUGGCCUUCAUGGUGUAGUGGUCGGCAAAGUUUGAAGAGUUAAAUAGAUAAUAACAGUGGGGAUGCGUAAAAAGAUUUGAUUAUAUAUUUCCCUAAUUAAUUCUAUAUUAAUUAUUUUAA